UGGGGAAUAUUGCACAAUGGGGGAAACCCUGAUGCAGCAACGCCGCGUGAGUGAUGACGGCCUUCGGGUUGUAAAGCUCUGUCUUCAGGGACGAUAAUGACGGUACCUGAGGAGGAAGCCACGGCUAACUACGUGCCAGCAGCCGCGGUAAUACGUAGGUGGCAAGCGUUGUCCGGAUUUACUGGGCGUAAAGGGAGCGUAGGCGGACUUUUAAGUGAGAUGUGAAAUACCCGGGCGCAACCUGGGUGCUGCAUUUCAAACUGGAAGGCUAGAGUGCAGGGGAGGAGAGUGGAAUUCCUAGUGUAGCGGUGAAAUGCGUAGAGAUUAGGAAGAACACCAGUGGCGAAGGCGACUCUCUGGACUGUAACUGACGCUGAGGCUCGAAAGCGUGGGGAGCAAACA
rnacentral:rRNA from 1 species